UCCGAUCCCGAAGGUAAACCGCGCACACGUUACCCUUUCUGAUUUCAUACCGGAUUCGUGGACACUAGUUACGAGGAAGAAGAACGGCAAGAAGGGACAGGCGGCGAGGCCGCCGCCGAUUCAGCAGCCGUCGACAGCUAGGGCGACCAAGGAAAUUCAAGCGGUCAGACGGACACGCUUGAAUGAUCUGUUGGGCCAGGAGCUGGGGUGCGCGAACGCGCUGGUCGUGGGCUCUAUUUGCACUGGGUAUGAGGCCCAGGCAAAUUCCCAAGCCACGCAUACGUACACGUACAGGCCCACAAUCACACUUGCGAUCAACCCCGGCCCAGCAUCGUUGCAUGAGGCGUCGGGAAACGAACAGCCGUUCGAUCGAUCUGCGCCUAUUACUAGGGUUUGUCGAAGACCUGGCUUCCCAUCGCUUGGAAUUCGUCGGGCGGCGAGGAUUUGCUGCGCGGCCGGCUCUAACGCUAACUCCAUGGCGGGGCGAGGAGGUCCGCCGCCGACAAAAACGGGGGCGCAGCCACCUGCGCGACCACCGGCGAGGGCUCCUGACACCCAGGAGUCUUCACGCACUGCUACACGACAUCAGGAGCAACCUCCACAUAGGCCACCUGCUGCUGGCCAUGGCACCGGUCGGGGUCGAGAUGAUGGCUACGGCAACGGAGGAUACGGUGGUGCUGGACGAGAUUAUGGUGGUGGUCGAGACUUUGGCGGAGAUGGACAUCAUUAUAAUCGCUAUGGCCAGUGGGGCGAUGAUGGUUAUGAUGCCUACGGUGAGGGCCUGCACCGUGGUUCAUCGUCUGGCGGUGGCCGAGGUUCUAGAUGGAAUAAUGGCAACGGACCAGGGCGUGGAUUCCAAGGACCGCCGGGAAACUUUGUUGAAGGAGUAGCUGGACCCUUUCGCAAUCAGGGAGGGCAUCGUUUUCAUGGAGGGAGAGGUGGGGGGCGACGCCCGCCACCGCCACGACCCCAUACUCCACCGCAGGCCGACCCUGCUCGCGACACCACUGUAGAGGCAGCGGCUGCUACGCCCACGGUGUUACCAGCAGCCGUCAAGGACGUGGUUCGGGCCUUCGCGGCGGUGAAGGUGCCAGAGGCCAGAUCGCGGCAUGUCAAUGCAAAAAAUGGUGGUUCGGACAAGGGUACUGACAAGGGAGAGGGUGAAAAGAUAUCCAAAUGGGCAAUCAAGAAGAAGAAAUUGACGUGUUACAGAUGUGGUGAGCCAGGACACUUCGUGGCGGAUUGCACUACUGAGUUAUGCGAUUAUUGUCAGAAGGCUAAACAUGCAAUCGGUGAAUGUCCUUUGGUGUCUGGACCCAAACCGGUAGUCACCAUAUAUGGAGUUUGUUGCAAAGAGCUAAUGUUUUUCGAGUCUCCGGAAGUAACAUCGUCGUUUCAGGCUGUUGACGGCUCUUAUCCAGGAGUAGUUAAGGUGACUAAUGGGGUGAUGACAGGGGCCCAGAUUAUUCAGCUCCUACGUGAGUUGGCACCGGGAAAUUUCCAGUGGAACCUUGUUAGGCUGGAGAACCAGAUAUACAAGGUAGAAUUUCCAACUAAGGAGGAUCAACUUCGUAUUCUUAAGUUUGGCAUGUGCAGGGUUCCUAGCACUAAUAUUAUUCUCGAGUUUGACGAGUGGAAACAAAACGAACCACAGGGAGUACCUUUGGAAAAGGCUUGGGUCCGCUUCUCGGGUGCGCCAUCUAAGUCGUUAAAUCAUUUUCUCGUCACUUGGAGUUUGGUGUCUCUGAUUGGUAAGACGGAGAAGGUUGAUAUGCCCUUCACGCGUGCUAAUGGUGUGGCAAGGUUGAUGGUCGGUGUCAUCAGUAUUGACUUGUUACCCGACACGGUUCCAUGGACGCAUGACGGAAUUACAUAUAGUCUAGAACUUGAGAUUGAGGACACACCAGUAGAUGAUGGGACUGACGAGCAUCAAGACAUGGAUACAUCUGAUGGAGAUCGAGCACCGGAUAACCAGAACAAGGAAUCUGAGGACACAUCUAGGGGCUCAGCCAAGAAACACACUCCGCAGCCUCAUAAAUCUGAUAAGGCAGCUAAGGGGCCGUCGAUAGCUGGAACACCGACGAACACUUUACGUUUUGGCUCUUUUGAUGCUCAUUCGGCUCCUAGUCGCUUGUGGAGCAUGAGGGUAGAGGCGGAUGAUCCGAUGGAGUCACAAUUACCGUCGUUGUUGGAGGCUGCCUGGUGACAUUGCAACCGAUUGAAUCCGAUGGGAGGGGCCGGCCGGAGGGAUAUCACAUCUCCCAUAACAUCUCCUCGUCGUGAUGCCACCACGUUGGCGAAGUCGGGAGAGGUGCCGCCAGCUCCAUCGGUUCCCAGUUACUCUAGCGGGCGAGUUCGGGAUCUGGGAGGCUGGGGCGCCCUUUUGGGCAAUACACAAAGCACCUCGCCGAAAAACCAUGGGCAAGGAACCAGGUUGGGAGACGCCCCAAACUCGCCGAAGAAAUAUGAGCAGGAUACUGGGAUGGUUCAGGGACAUGGGCAGGAGGCCUUCACCCCAACCAUGGUGUCUCCAGUUUGCGUCAACGGCCACAAGACACUACUAGAAUCUGCAAAUAGCCCUAGGGCCAUAUACCCUAAGCAAAAGGGCGAAAACACUAGGGAAAGUGGUUUCCCUAGUGUAUACCCUAGGGAAAUUGCCCUAGGGAUCAAUUGGUGGGGGAAUCUUGGUUUCCCUUGGGUGUUCAAAGAAUACCCUAGGCAUUGUUUAAUUUCCCUUGGGUUUUGUACCCUAGGGAAACAACUGACAUGUGGCAUGACUGCUGACUUGUAAAGUAGAUAUCCUUUGGGUUAGUUCCACUCCCUAGGAAAAAACUCAAGAACCAUUAGUCCAUCCAGCUGUUGGGUUUAUCAACCUUAUAAAAUCAGUGUUUAUAAGUAUUGCAAUGAAUUACACAACUUAAUAUUUGAUUUGCACAAAUGUAACUACUAAUGAUAAAUGUAGAUAAUACCUCCAAAAAGCUGAAGACACAAAGCACGUAAAUUAUAUAUUUCAACCAUCAUUACACAUGACAACAUCCACUAGCAUACACAAUAUUACCACACUUUACAAAAGAUGGCAUCUAGCUCCACUCAUUACCUACACCCCACAACAUGUACAUAGGAUUUUCCAAUUAGUAACCUGGAUUGUCCAAUUAGUAACCUCGAAUAUUGACCGUGCAUGAUAUAUAAGUCACUAGUACAACAAAUCAUAACAAUAGCCAAGUGCACGGCCAAAAAGCGAUCUGUCAUGGUUGCGCCUGGUAACUACCAAUUAAUCAACACAAAAAGUCCUCCUGUAAACUGAAAUAAAAUGCAUUAGUAAGGUUCAGAAAAAUAAAUAAAUAAAAUUGCACAUUUCUGAGUUGGCAUAAGUAUAUAUAGCAGUAGAAAAAUGUGCAUCGGGUCAUAAAACAACUAGAGAAAAAUAUAACUAUCCGAGUUACAAUUUGAAGUUCAACAUAGGGAAACAGCCAGAAACAUGGUCAGCUCACACCAAACCGCUCUUCAGAAUAUUUCCGUUGUUCGUUUCACCCACUGUACAUCCAACUAUACUAUUCUUCUAGAGACAUGGUAGAAUAGUUGGCAGCACAGUGCAGACGUCAAAGGACCAACAAACUUCAUUUUGUUAUAUUAAACAAGGUUAAAGCAAUGGUUUCUUACCCAAAAAAAAGAUGUUAAGAAAAUUACCAAUCCGGAGUACUGUGCACAUGCUAGCAAAUUAGCCUAUUUUUAUAUGUACUAAUAGGUUCACUUCUCCUUAUAAUUAACUAAUGCAAAGGUCAAAUCUUCAUCUUUGUUUAAUCACGAGAUAGAUAGACAAUUUAUAAUUGAUCCAAAACUGCAUGGAUCAGACGCAUAUAGAAAGACGAGGGAAGAAGGCCAUGCGAGCUCACCUAAUCGAGCAUUGGUUCUGAAGUUGAAGCCCCUAUGCGGAUGCGGAGGUUGCAGGACGUCUUGGUCGAGGGCGGCAGGGUCGGUCGAGGACCGCAGCGGCGGAGGCCCCCGCCUGCGUCUGAAGAUGUUGAGGGUGGCAGAUCUGUAAGGUACAAGACAGCGGCGGCUGCCGCAGGAGCAAGGCCUGCAGCAGUGGCAGCGGAACCCUGCUUCUGCAGCGGCCGCGGCGUCCACCAGCGACGGCGACGGCUCCUUCUGCAGCGGCCGCGGCGUCCGCCAGCAACGACGACGGCUUCUUCUGCAGCAGCUGCCGUGGGAGCAAGGUCUGCCUGCAGCGGCGGCGGCGUCUGCCAGCAACGGCGACAGCUGCUUCUGAAGCAGCUGCCGCGGGAACAAGGUUUGCAGCAGUGGCGGCGGCACCCUGCGUCUGCAGCAGUGGCGGCGGCCGCCAGCAACGAUGAUGGCUUGAGGAUGGCACGGGCGGCCUAGCAAUGGAUGAGUGGCGCCGCUGCCGGUUUGGUGGUAUUUUAGUGGCGCUCCCGGCACGGGUUUGCGAUUUGGGGAAAAGUUCGCGCCUGUAGGGGAGGAAUGCGCGCGUACAACCAAUUUGCGCGGGCUCGCGUGAAAAGGGAAAAAAAUUGGCGGGCAGAAUACGGCACGCCCAAUGAACUCCGCGCGCGUACGACUCAAUUUUAGCACUACUGAAGUAGCAUCUACACAAAAAAUAUUACUAGUACGACAUUUUGUAUACCUAAUCAUCAAAAAAAAGUAUGCACUUAUUUUCACCUAUUUCACUACCAUAUUUAUCUUUUAUUCCAUCAAGCGUGUGAACAAAAAGAAAUUGAUCAGCUUAUAUUUCGAAAAAAUGAUCAAUCAACUUAUAUUUUCACCCAAUUCCAUGUUAUUUCCACUUGUGUUUUUCCCUUUUAUAUAUAUUUCAAAUUAUAUAAUUUUGGUUGGAAUAUUUAGAAAACAACUUUUAGCUAAAAUAUAUAUGUAUAUUGGAAAAUCAAUUGUGUGCAAAUCUCCCUAGAGUUAAGACUAGAAGCCCUAGGGAUACAUUAUUAUAGUGUUAGUGGCAGUGGAAGACUGCCGGUAGACUCUUUUAUUUGUCCCUAGGGUUGCACUUAUUUACCCUAGGUAUAGCCAUUUCCUAAGGGUUUAAUCUGUAGGCCCUAGGGAAAGUUGCCAACAUGGCUUUGGUAUGGUCCCACUCAAUGAAUACCCAUUGGGUCUGCUAGCAAACCCUAAGGAAACAAUACGCUCCCUUGGGUUGUCAAGUCGGGCCCUAGGUAAACUUUAUGUCCCUAGGGUGCCAUUUUUGGCUCUAAGGAACCAUUUCAGCCUUAGGGCUAUUUGCAGAUUCUAGUAGUGAGAGGGCAGCUGAGCAUGAGGCUCCGCAACCUCUUCCUUCGCCGGUGCUGAACGAUGCUGUUCCACCCGCGCGCAUCUCUACACCAACCUCGAUGGGUGUGCGUGCCACUACGGGAGUUCCUGCUCGGGAGAGGACUAUGGACGAGAUUAUUGCUUUUGGUGGGAUCGAAGAUCCGGUGACGGCUGGCAGGCGUGUCAGUGAUCGGAUCCAAGAUCAACCAGACGCGGAUGACCUGCAGUUGGGGCGUGCCAUGAGGGCGGCCAAACUUCGAGAUGUCGAGGCAACUACAGGUAUGUCGGUACAUAAGAGUUCUUCUAUCUUACUUUUUUCAAAGCAUGAUAUUUUAGAUAAAGCCAACAACAUAGGAGUUUCUUUGGGAUCGAACGCAAAGGAAGUUGCGAAAUCGAUUAAUGACCUUUUAGACUUAGGAGCAGAGUGGGCCUCUGAUAUUAUUCAAAAUUUGGAGGCCGUUAAACUAAUGAAUAAUGAUGAAGUGAAUCAAUUAGGAAUUUCGGCUAUACAAAAUUUAUGUGAUAAUCUAAUGCCACCCUCGGAGAUCGAUGGGGACCCACUAGGAUCGGACAUUGAGGACAGUAUAGACCUUAUGCCGGCGGCAGAUUAUAUCCCCAGUCACCCUAUUGAUGUAGGUACGUUAAAUAUAGAGGGUAAGCCCAAACAGUCCUGGAGAAGGAAGAUAUAUCCGACUUCAGCUGUUCGGAGGAGUACUAGGAUUAAACUUAAAAAGAAAUUCCAUGACGACCUAUGAGAGGAAUCUUUUGAAAUAGCAGAGGUCUAGCUGACUUGGCUAAAAGAAGGUUCCUUGCAGAUACAUCGGUAGAACACAAGCUCGAUUUUAUUGCACUACUCGAAACCAGUAGAGAUAAUUUUACCUCACAAUUCCUCGGAACUCUGUCGGGUGGAAUUGAUUUUGACUGGCACUGUCUACCCCCUAGAGGAAGAUCUGGUGGGAUAUUACUAGGGGUUAGAUGUGAAACACUUGAGGUGCUAAAUGUGGCCACCAUUGCACGUGAAUGGUCAAAGCCUGUUGCUAGACACACAAGCAUGGAGAGAUGGCAGAACAAGAUCCGUCAUCUAAGAGAAUUUCUUAGGGGUUGGGCAAGGAACGAGAGUGGCAUUUACAAAAAGGAGAAAGAAAGGCUCCUUCAACUAAUUGAUUCCCUGGACAUUAAAGCAGAGGGGACACUGCUAGACGUAAAUGAACACGCCAUGAAAUCUGAAGCGGAACAAAGCCUACGAGUCCUUAUGAGAGAAGAGGAACUCAAAUGGGCAUUACGGGCUAAGACUCUCAAGGUUGUUCAUGGAGACGAUAAUGCACAAUUCUUUCAUAUGAUUGCAAAUGGCAAACAUAGAAAGAAGAGAAUAAUUCAGCUCGAGCAGGAUGAAGGAACCAUUGUAGGUCAUGAAAACCUUAAACUAUAUAUCUCCAAUUACUAUAAACAAUUAUUCGGGCCACCGGCAGAGAGCACGGUGUCCAUGAAUGAGUCUGACACUGGAGAUAUUCCUCAGCUCAUGACAGAACAGAAUGAGUUCCUAACUGCGCCUUUCACUGAAAAGGAAGUUCUGGAUGCCAUAACACAAAUGAAACCAAAUAAAGCACCGGUACCAAACGGGUUUCCAGUGGAGUUUUAUAAGAAAUGUUGGCAUAUCAUUAAAGAUGACCUGAUGCCCAUGUUCCACGAUUUGUUUAAUGGGCAUCUAGAACUGUUCCAUAUAAACUUUGGUACGAUUACUCUAUCACCAAAGAAAGAAGGGGUGAUUCGUAUUGAGCAGUUUAGGCCGAUCUGUCUCUUAAACGUGAGUUUCAAGAUAUUCACGAAGGUGGGGACAAAUCGGCUGACGCAGAUCGCCCAUUCUGUGGUUCAAGAGAGUCAGACGGCCUUCAUGCCUGGUAGACACAUCCUAGAAGGGGUAGUGGUUCUACAUGAAACGAUCCACGAACUCCAUUCGAAGAAACUAGAUGGGGUUAUCUUUAAAGUGGAUUUCGAAAAGGCUUAUGAUAAAGUGAAAUGGACGUUUCUUCAGCAAGCUAUGCGCAUGAAAGGUUUUUCUGAAGCUUGGAGGAGCCAAGUGGAUUCUCUUGUCCAAAAAGGUAGUGUCGGGAUUAAGGUUAAAAAUGAUAAAGGCCACUAUUUUCAGACACACAAGGGGUUGAGGCAAGGGGAUUCAAUGUCUCCGCUCUUGUUUAAUAUAGUGGCAGAUAUGUUAACCGUGCUUAUUCGCAGGGCUAAGGAGAAUGGCCUAGUAGAUGGUUUAGUUCCCCAUCUGGUGGAUGGUGGAGUAUCGAUUCUCCAAUACGCAGACGACACUAUUAUAUUCAUGGAGCAUGAUGUUGCAAAAGCUCGGAAUAUGAAAUUGGUUUUAUGUCUAUUCGAGCAAUUAUCGGGACUAAAAAUAAACUUUAACAAAAGUGAGUUAUUUUGCUUUGGUAGGGCCAAAGAUGAGCAAGAUACUUACAAAUUUUUGUUCGGUUGUGAACUAGGGUCAAUGCCUUUUAGCUAUUUGGGUAUACCUAUUCAUCAUCGGAAAUUAUUCAUUAAGGAGUGGAAGUGCAUCGAGGAUCGAAUUGAAAAGAAGUUAAGUUGUUGGAAAGGCAAGUUAAUGUCCUACGGUGGUCGACUAGUACUCAUUAACUCUGUCUUGACAAGUAUGCCGAUGUUUCUCCUCUCCUUUUUUGAGGUACCUAAAGGGGUACGAAGGAGACUAGACUUCUUCCGAUCUCGAUUCUUCUGGCAGUCUGAUGAGGCCAAGAAGAAAUACCGCUUAGCUCGUUGGGAUAUAUUAUGUCGACCUAAGGAUCAGGGGGGUCUCGGCAUUGAGAAUCUAGAGAUUAAGAAUAAAUGUCUUUUAAGCAAAUGGCUUUUCAGGCUUUCGGUAGAGAACGACGGGAUGUGGGCACAAAUUCUACGCAACAAAUAUUUACAGUCCAAAACUCUAGCACAAGUUAACGCGAGGUCAUCCGAUUUGCCUUUCUGGAAGGGCCUAAUGAGAACUAAAGACUUAUUCUUUCGUAGAACCAAAUUCACUAUUGGCAAUGGGAUGUCAACACGAUUUUGGGAGGAUACAUGGCUAGGGGAGACGCCCUUAGCUGUUCAAUAUCCAAGUCUAUAUAAUAUUGUCCAACGUAAGGAAGAUUACGUUGGUACGAUAUUACAAUCGGUACCUCUAAAUAUUCAGUUUAGGCGAUCUUUGGUUGGGGAGAGAUGGAAGUCAUGGAUACAUCUGGUACGGAGAGUAAUGGAUGUACAAUUAACCGACCAAUCGGAUUCCUUACAUUGGACACUGACCAAGAAUGGCUCAUUCACGGUCAAAUCAUUUUAUUUGGACCUAAUUAACUCUGGCUUCCUCCCGAGAUCCAUUCAUAUCUGGAAAAUUAAGGUCCCCUUGCGUAUCAAAAUUUUCAUGUGGUUCGUGUAUAAACAAGUGAUCCUCACCAAAGACAAUCUGUUAAAACGACAUUGGGUAGGCAGCUCACGAUAUUGUUUUUGUGAUAAUAAUGAAACAAUACAACACCUCUUCAUCGAUUGUCCUUUGGCUAAACUUUUAUGGCGCACUAUUCAUAUAGCUUUCAACAUUGCCCCUCCAAUUAACAUUGAAUCGUUGUUUGGGACGUGGUUAGAUGGGGUGGAUCGCAAUACUGCGAGUCAUCUUCGAGUUGGAAUAUGUGCUUUUUUGUGGGCUAUAUGAAACUGCAGGAACGAUAUGAUCUUUAACGGGCAACAAUUUUUAAACUUCUUGCAGGUUAUCUUCAGAGCUACUGCAUGGAUCCGUACGUGGUCCUUACUCACUCCUACGGAAUCCAGGGAGCCGCUGGUUACUGGGUGCAACCAAUGGAAGAUGGUAGCACGGGUUAUAUUCAAGCAAUUUGGAUGAAGGUCGCUUAACAGGAUAGGAGUUUAGGUCUCUAGUCCUGUUAUCAUCAUCGGUUGUAAUCUUGAGGUCUUUUAUGGCUUUGCCAUCCUGCUCCUUUUGCGAGGGAUACUAUUUGUUUUUUAAGACUUUUAAUAAUAUUGCUGCAUGCAUCAUUCAGAUGCAGAGCCCGGG
rnacentral:lncRNA from 1 species